rnacentral:rRNA from 1 species
UACGUAGGUGGCAAGCGUUGUCCGGAUUUACUGGGCGUAAAGAGCGCGCAGGCGGUCGUUCAAGUCGCGUGUGAAAGCCCCCGGCUCAACUGGGGAGGGUCACGCGAUACUGAUCGACUCGAAGGCAGGAGAGGGUAGUGGAAUUCCCGGUGUAGUGGUGAAAUGCGUAGAUAUCGGGAGGAACACCAGUGGCGAAGGCGACUCUUUGGCCUGUAACUGACGCUGAGGCGCGAAAGCGUGGGGAGCAAACAGG